ensembl:lncRNA
AUGGGUUUUCACUCUAAUAUCUUGAUAUUUUCGGGUUUGCGUGACUGUGCGCUGCGCUCGUUAUUAAUAAUAAUAAUAAUAAUAAUAACAGUAAUACUGAAAGGAUGUGAAGUGUUUAUACUGACGGAGCCCAUCUCAGGGCCUGGCCAGUCGGAGCUGCGCAUGCGCACCGGAGCAGCGCUAAUGGCGGAGAGCGUGCGGUCGCCGUUCGAUUACCGGGAGCCCCCGACCCUCGACAGCGACGGGGAUGGAGGAAAGCCGCCGCGCGGGCGAGUGUGUGGCAGGAAGAGGAAGGGGACGCCGGUGAAGGUGUGUGAAAGAGCGGCGUAUGUGACGGAGGACGAGGAGGAGAGUCUGUCUGAACACAGUUACAGCCCAGGGGAUGAUCAGUACACCGAGGGAGCCGGAGACAGUGUUCCUCCGCCGGGCGGCCCGUACUACCUCACCGACCCGUCACAGCUCUGUGUGCCUGAGCUGGCUGAAGAGGGCGCUAGCGGCGUCCGCGGCCCUGUGCUGUUCCACCCCCCGCCCAACUGCAGGAUUAGAGAGGUGCAUUCUGGGAGUCAGGUCCGGCUCGUCGUCAUAGCCAUUCGAGACAUUGCCAAAGGCGAGGAGAUCACCGUGGACUACAGCCUGAGCGACUGGGGAGAGAAUGCCAUGGGCUUUCAUACUUCGGUGUCCCCACGUGGGUUUGAAUGUGGAUUCAACCCAGAGAGCACCAUCAAGAAGGAGGAGGAGCCGGGGUCACUGCCUCUGUCUCUCACUGUUUCUGACUACCUCACUCCGUCCUGGUCUCUGUCUCCCUCCUCCUCUCCGCUGUCUCACUCCGAGGCCAGCGACUCCGACCGAGAGGAGGAGGAGGAGGAGGAAGACGACGAUGACGACGACGACGAGGAGGACCUGGAGGAUCUGCGGGGACGCAUGAUGAGACGCCGCAAGAAACGCAAAACCUCGGCGACCAUCAAGAAGAAAGCCCAGCCCCGCCCCCUGUCCUUCACAUGCCCCGCCCCUUCCUCACCGCCGUCCUUCCAGCAGCCUCUAGCCCCGCCCACCACCAACAUAAACAACAAUAUAAACAUAAACAUCGGCGCGAGCGGCACGCUCUCCCGCAGACAGCACUGUCCCUACUGCGGCCGUCACUUCCGCUCCCUCGCUAGGCACCUGGAGAAACACCACGAGCAGCACCCCGAGGUCCGAGCCGCCAUGGAGCUGUCGCACCCCCCCGCCUCCUCGCACCCCUUCACCUCUCCCGCUCAGCCCUCGUCCUCCCUGGGAACCUCCCUGUUUUCCCGAGAGCGAGACUCUUCGUCUUCAGCUCCGAAAUCCGGAGGCGUCUCCUUCUCGCUCUCGCUGUCUCCGCCUCCUGCCUCCAGUACCUCAAAAAAGAGCUCAACAACAUCGCCGAAGAAGCCCACGGCUAACAAGAGCCCCUGGUUGUGCUCCUGCAACUUUCGGCACUCAUAUUAA